rnacentral:rRNA from 1 species
GACGAACGUUGGCGGCGUGCUUAAUACAUGCAAGUCAACUGAAGCAGUGGUAGCAAUAUCGCUGUGGAGGUGGCGCACGGGUGAGUAACACGUAGGUAAUCUGCCUUCAGGUCUGGCAUAACUCCGGGAAACCGGGGCUAAUAGCAGAUGAUGCAGCGGCUCGACAUCGAGACAGUUGUUAAAGCUAUGGCGCCUGAAGAUGAGCCUGCGUCUGAUUAGCUAGUUGGCGGGGUAACGGCCCACCAAGGCAACGAUCAGUAGCUGGUCUGAGAGGAUGAUCAGCCACACUGGAACGGAGACACGGUCCAGACUCCUACGGGAGGCAGCAGUAAGGAAUAUUGCUCAAUGGGAGAAAUCCUGAAGCAGCAACGCCGCGUGAGGGACGAAGGGCUUUUGCUUGUAAACCUCUGUAGUGAGAGAAAAAAAUCCCAAUCUUUGGGACAUGAUGGUAGCUCAAAAGUAAGCCCCGGCUAACUACGUG